AUUGAACGCUGGCGGCAGGCCUAACACAUGCAAGUCGAACGAGUGGCGGACGGGUGAGUAAUGUCUGGGAAACUGCCUGAUGGAGGGGGAUAACUACUGGAAACGGUAGCUAAUACCGCAUUCCAUCGGAUGUGCCCAGAUGGGAUUAGCUAGUAGGUGGGGUAAAGGCUCACCUAGGCGACGAUCCCUAGCUGGUCUGAGAGGAUGACCCGCCACACAGGAACUGAGACACGGUCCACGAUCCUACGGGAGGCAGCAGUGGGGAAUAUUGCACGAGGAGAGCAAACCUAAUGCGGCCAGGCCGCGUCAAUGAAGUAGGCCUUCGGGUUGUAAAGAACUUACAGCGGAGAGGCGUUGCCCGCAGAAGAAACACCGGCUAACCCAGUAGCAGCAGCCGCGGUAAUAC
rnacentral:rRNA from 1 species